GGAGAGAAAGCUCAGUGGUGGAGCAUAGGACUUGCACAUCUGAGGUCUCCAGAGUUCUAAUAUCUGUUUUUCUU
rnacentral:tRNA from 1 species